rnacentral:rRNA from 1 species
AUUGAACGCUGGCGGCAGGCCUAACACAUGCAAGUCGAACGGUAACAGGAAGAAGCUUGCUUCUUUGCUGACGAGUGGCGGACGGGUGAGUAAUGUCUGGGAAACUGCCUGAUGGAGGGGGAUAACUACUGGAAACGGUAGCUAAUACCGCAUAAUGUCGCAAGACCAAAGAGUGGGACCUUCGGGCCUCUUGCCAUCGGAUGUGCCCAGAUGGGAUUAGCUAGUAGGUGGGGUAACGGCUCACCUAGGCGACGAUCCCUAGCUGGUCUGAGAGGAUGACCAGCCACACUGGAACUGAGACACGGUCCAGACUCCUACGGGAGGCAGCAGUGGGGAAUAUUGCACAAUGGGCGCAAGCCUGAUGCAGCUAUGCCGCGUGUAUGAAGAAGGCCUUCGGGUUGUAAAGUACUUUCAGCGGGGAGGAAGGGAGUAAAGUUAAUACCUGUGCUCAUUGACGUUACCCGCAGAAGAAGCACCGGCUAACUCCGUG